UAAGUCCAAGAAUAUUAUGUUUCCAUGGGCUUGUACUGCAUCUGAGAUGAGGUCUUAGUUGGUUUUAUUUUAUCCAGCCUUUUGCCCUUAUCAGCUUUUCCAACAAAGGGAAAGGCGAGGCUUGUAAAGAGUAGUUUUUUCAGUAUGCAUGCCUGUUUUGAAAGGAACCGGAUACACUUACUGUGGUAGGAAAGUGAAACAUAGAUUGGAAAUGAGUACCAUGUAUAAUAUGAUUAAAAAGUUACAUAAUUUAAAAUGUAUUUUUGACAACAAACUCUGUUCUGCACUUCGUUGAAUUUUAGCUUGUGAAAGUCCAUCUUGAAUGCAUUUUUUCAAUGAUGUGCAUAUUUAACAUUCUAAACUACCUGUCAUUUUAUUUUCCUUAUACAUAUACCUGAAAGUUUUAGACUAUCCAGCUGUUUUAUGACCAUUUUAUAAACUGAUCAGAAAAUUAAAGGUUGUCAGUAGUUUCGUAGUUUAGUGACAACAGUUUUGGCCACCACUAUAUAUGGUAUAUAUAUUUUAAUAUGUGGUUUGUAUCUGUACUGUAUAUAAAUAAGUCCAGAUAAAACUGCCUUUUGUGAACAGAUUUGAAAACCAUCAGUCAAUUUGAGUGAUGGCUCCUCUCUUUUUGUCGCAAAAAAGGUAAAAAUGAAAUUGUGCUAUCAAGAUCUACUGCAAAAGCUUUCAGAAACGUUGUUUGAAUUGGGCUUUUAACAAUAAAAUAAAAUGCCUACGGGGGAAAUAAUUGAUUGGAAAGAAGAAAACAGUCAUGUACUGUGGAAAGGUAUGAUGAACCAUGAAUUAAGUCUCAUGAAGGUAGGUGAAGAUUUAAAAUAUUUACUUCAGGGUGGCUAGUUCAAUCCGACUGAAGUUUCAUCAGUUGUUGUUUGUAGGCGUACAUGGCAUGGGUUCUGGUGGAUCUCUCCUCUUUUCCCCUCUUUUUCACAAGAAAAAGCAUUACACUGUUCAUAACUUGAAUAACUUGUGUCGAAUAAACUCUAGCGACCAUAUCAAAAACUCUACCGGCCAGUAUAAAUGUUAGGAUUGUCUGUCUGUGAGCUUUUUCAUAUUUGAUAUUUAAUUUAGCAAGCCAGGGUGUUUACACAGCUUUCAUAUGGAACAUAACAACUGUACUCCUAUCACAGCCUAAUAGCUUUGAAAGAUAAACUAAGGGCAAGCAAACUACGAGUAGCCCACUCUUCUAAAUCUGCACCACCUUGGGAGAGUAGCUGUGUGAAGGUACAGCAUUCGGUGCUGUCUGUGGGAUCAUGGUAUUGAAAGUAGCACUAGAUCCCCAAAGGCCUUGUGGAAAAUAAACUGCUUACAUUCCUCAAUAGGACAAAGGGAACGUGUUACCUGAAUCCAGAGUUCUGAAAUCAGGGCCUCUGGUAGCACAGUCCCUCACAGUUUCUCUCUCACAGGUUCCCUAUGUAAUGAACUGGCAUCUCAGCCCAUUCAAUUGAUGGAAGGGCGAGGACUGCAUGCCAACUGAAAACCAUACAGUUCAAAGAUGAAUGUCUUACCAUUCACCUAAUGAGCAAGCUGUAUAGUCGAGAGUGAACCAUAAGGGGGAUGUCAACUAACUACCUGCAGGCGUCCGCUUGAGCUCACCGGGUACCUGGCCAGUAGCAGCACGAUCAGGAGAAACAGUUCCUGCUAGUUUUGCCUCACCUAACCAGCGGAAGCCCCAGAGCUAAUGCAUUGCUUCCUCUGGAAUGCAUUAGCUCCCCCAGCAAAGACCAGGAUGCAAACCAGCACUUCCCUGAUUGCAUGACCCACCCUGCACACCACAGGGCUGUGCUUUUACCAGGUAAGUCACUCGGGAACCUAGGUGAACGUCACCAUAUUAUUUUCAGUUUGGGAGAAUUUUCUGAUGACGGCAGCAUGCAUGGUACAAUGGGUUCAAUCCCAGUUAAGUUAUAAUUCCAGUACUAAUACAUUACAAUGUUUUCAGUAUCUCCAUACAGUAGUGGUCCUAAAGAGUUUCUUCUUGAUCAUGCAAAGAAGCAACAUCGCUGGUUUAAUAGUUCAAUCAAAAUAAUUUAUUGGAAGAUGCUGCUGCUUGUCCCUUAAUACUUACUCUGAAUAUUGGUCAGGCCUUUUUGUUCCAAACACACUGGGGAUACCUACUGAAUCAAUGCUGUCAUGUCAAGAAAGAGGAUUUCUAAUCAUCAAUAUAACAACAAGUUAUGGUAAUCAGGUUCUGGUAUAAGAACAUUUUAAUGAUACAGGUGAUUGAUGACCAUGGUCUCCUUUUAUAGAACCUGAAUCUUCUAAAUGCAAUAGGCCUGUAUGUCUCAUGUGUGGUCCUUCAAAGAUUCAUGGCAUAAUAAUGUAAAAUGUAUAAGUUGAUCCCCUAGUCCCCAAGCAUGUUACCAUCCAAUUGAAUUUACUAAGGGUCUCUGUGUGUAGUUUUGCAUUGAAAACAGUAUUGGUCAUAUUCAUAUCAACGAACAGACUAUAUAUAUACAUUUCCAGCAGUCUAAAUAAUCAGCAAAUAAAUACAGGUUAUUGGCUGCCUAUCUAAUAAAAUAAAUGUGUUUUGUUGUUGUGUUUUUCUUUUUUUGUUUUAACAUGCAAUAUAUAGCAAACACCUUUGUAUAGGCAGCUACAGCAGGACACUUAACACUGUGUUUUGUUUACUGAGUUUUUGUGUACUUGUUUUGUGAAAAGUCUAUUGGAAAACCAAAAAUAAACUGAAAUAUGUGAAUUUAAUGGAGUUCAUUAAAAGUUUUUUUUUUUUUGUCUGUUUCAGGUUGUUCCUACCAUAUUCCUUGAUGAUUUAGUUAUUAAGUGGUGUCCCACCAAGCAUUGUCUUUCAGAUGUCUUACUUCACUCAAUCAUACAGGACAGCUAACAAGCUCCUGAAGUUAAAUUCGUCAUUUUUAUGUUCUCCAAACGAGAGAAAUCAGUCCUUCACUGAAAGAAGAUUUAUUUAUUUCCAUAUUUUGCUAAGGUAAACAGGGACUGCAUAAAGAGGCGAUACAAAUACAAAUAAUAAUUCAGUUUCCUGCAUCCUAACUCAGGGUACAGAGACAGAGGAUGUGGGUGAUUUGAGUAGGAGAAAAGCUUAUGCUAAGAAAUGGCACGACUUCAAUGGCUACAAUAAAUCAUUGUUAAAUGCAUUGGCGUGUCAGAAAUCCCUGACAUUAUGAAGCACGGUGUCCUGCUGGCAAGUAUUUCUUGUGCUGCACUGAAAUAAAUGAGUGACCAAUGAAGAAGGAAAAACAACUGAGGCUUGGAGGCUAUUGCUGUCUGUAACCGUGCAUGCAGGCUACAUUUAUAUUGCUUGCAGCAUACAAUGGAUAUUAUGCAGCACUGACAGAGUAUCAUUGCUCCCUUCCAAAUGUAUUACAGUAUGGGUUUUGCUAUUAUCUUAAUACAGCCAUAGGAUUAUCUCAUACAUAUAAUAUAGCAUAAUGUGUUACAUUUAUUGCACUAUAUUGAUAAAGCAAUCACAUUACAUUACUGUAUGUUUGUUUUCAUUCUAUAUUGACAGAGUACACUGAUGUACCGUAUACAGUAGUACUCAGUCAUGUCUGUUUGUACACCAUGCUUAAAGUCUGGUAAACAUAUACAUUCCAGGCCAUAUACACUUGGAGAUAUAUAUAUAUAUAUAUAUAUAUAUAUAUAUAUGUAUAUAUAUAAUCAGUAAAAUUCUAAUGGAAUGCCAUAUGAACUCAAAUAUAAUUGUACAUACAAAGUAAACAUUAUUAAUGUAUUUGAAUUCUCAUUAAUUACAAUGCAUUAAAAACAAGGGUAUUUUAAAUAAUGAGCUUGGCUACUGUAGAAUGUUCCAACUCCCAUUUCUAUCAAAUCAUUUUGCGAAUUACAAUAGCUACUGCCAAACCUAUUAGAUUGCCCACCUCUUUUUAAAAUAACAUCUGUUUUCAUUUGCAUAACUGCAGAGAUGUCAGAUGCUGUCUGUGUAUGCAUUGUACAUACUUAUUGUAGCAGCUCUUACACAGUAUUGCAUUUUCUUUGUCGGUACUUAGGUGACACUGUGGGUUUUUUAUUACCGCUAUCAUCUGGAGAUACUUAUGAAGGAUAGAUCUGCUAAGAUGUGGUCUCACAUUUUAUUGUAUCUUCAAAUGAGGCUUUGGAGAACUGCUGACUGUUGAAUUCAAUUAUUGAAGAGUUUGACUCUUCAAUAAUUCUACUGAUAGCUUCAGUGUGAAACAAUAACAGUCACAUUGACACAGUGGUGCUUUGUGUGUUUAAAGUUAAAAGUUAAUGUUUCUAACAAACAAAAAAGUGUUGUUUUUUAAUCAAACUGGAUUCUAAAUGGAUGGCAAAAAUAACAUUAUUAUGUACUUUUAUUCAAAACGCAUGCUCCGGAAUCAAUUUGAUUUAUAUUAAUGUGUACGCUGUAUUUUAUCCAUGUAUUUGUAAUAUGAAGGAACCCAUGAGUUUUGGCUUCCUUAAAAAUAAUCUCUAUUUGGGGAAAACAUAGCUCUUUAGUGUUACUGGACAUAAAUGGUCAUGUAAUUGCAAUGUAAUAACUGAAUAAUUACCAAUGGUGUUUGCUAUUACGUGAACACUACUGUUUAAUUACAUGGACAUGGCCUUGACAACAACAUGCUACCAAACCCCAUGCUACUACAUGGUUAUGUAUGCCUCUUAUUCCAAAAUGCUACCAACCAAAACACAAAAGUGCUUGGAUUCAAUUAACAAAAGUGUUGUUAAAGUAGAUAGAAAGUUUGCAUCAGGAACAAAGAACAACGGCAGUGUAAGAGAUUAUAUGCAAGAAGGAUCUGUAACAGCGUUAGUUAAAUAAACUGACAUCAAUCAAACAUGGUGUUUACCUCAGCCAUUUACAUAAGCAGCUUUAAACUGAACUGAUGUGUAGUUGGCACAUUAAACCAGGCAGUCAACAAAGUUUGGUUUUUUUCUGGUUAGGCUGAAAGCUGAGCUAUAAAGAAUGUAGUAGACAGACAACAUGAAAUACCUGUUUCAGUAUACAAUUAAAUGUGGAUGCUUGACAAGCAAAAUGUUUACACUGGCAUAAAAUCUGCGUAACAUAAGUCAACCACCAUUUUCUGUCCACAAAUCGCUCAGUUUAUGUCACGUAUGGUCUUUGCCAUCAAUGUUUUUGUUUUCAGAAUAAAACUGCUUUCACACUGAUAAAUUGGGCUCAAAUAGGUUUGCAAAGGCAACUUUAAAUCAAAAGGUUGGGUAACUCAAAGUUAAUUGUAAAAAAUACAUCAGGGACCAUGGUAAAUUAAGGGUUAAUUCAGGCUAUUCGGCGUGGACAUCUUUUUUUUCUACUGUGUUUAGGCUGUUCUAUGCUAUUUUCACAUCCAACAUAAAUGGCCACAAAUUCAUCUGGCUAAAGCAUGUGUUUUAAAAUGCUUGCUGUUUACAGUUCCUACCCACAAACUUGCUGUGCAUUGUUUUCUGU